GCUUGUCUCAAAGAUUAAGCCAUGCAUGUCCAAGUUCAAAUUGCUUAUAAUAGUGAAACCGCGAACGGCUCAUUACAACAGCCAUAAUUUACUUGAUGUUGAUUUUCCACGUGGAUAACUGUGGUAAUUCUAGAGCUAAUACAUGCACCAAAGCUCUGAUUUUUUUUGACGAGCGCAUCUAUUAGACCAAGAACCAAUCGAGUGUGAAUACUCACGCUCGUAAAUUUGGUGACUCUGAAUAGCUUAGCUGAUCGCAUGGUCUUGCACCGGCGACAUAUCUAUCAAGUGUCUGCCUUAUCAACUUUCGAUGGUAGUUUAUAUGCCUACCAUGGUUGUAACGGGUAACGGAGAAUAAGGGUUCGACUCCGGAGAGGGAGCCUGAGAAACGGCUACCACAUCCAAGGAAGGCAGCAGGCGCGCAAAUUACCCACUCUCAGCACGAGGAGGUAGUGACGAAAAAUAACGAGACCGUUCUCUUCGAGGCCGGUUAUCGGAAUGAGUACAACUUAAAGCCGUUAAUAAGGAUCUAUGAGAGGGCAAGUCUGGUGCCAGCAGCCGCGGUAAUUCCAGCUCUCAAAGUGUAUAUCGUCAUUGCUGCGGUUAAAAAGCUCGUAGUUGGAUUUCAGCUCGAUGGCUCGGUCUAUCCAUUGGAUAUGAACUGAGCCCAUCAGCUAAUUAUAUAUCGGUUUUAUCUACGUCACCUUAAAUGGUCGCGUAGGUAGGCUGAUGAGUUUACUUUGAAAAAAUUAGAGUGCUCAACGCGGGCUGAAAUGCCUGAAUAGUCGUGCAUGGAAUAAUGAAAUAGGAUCUCGGUUCUAUUUUGUUGGUUCUUUUAACUGAGAUAAUGGUUAAGAGGGACAGACGGGGGCAUUCGUAUCGCUACGUGAGAGGUGAAAUUCUUGGACCGUAGCGAGACGCCCGACUGCGAAAGCAUUUGCCAAGAAUGUCUUCAUUAAUCAAGAACGAAAGUCAGAGGUUCGAAGGCGAUCAGAUACCGCCCUAGUUCUGACCGUAAACGAUACCAACUAGCGUUCCGCCGGCGGUAAAUACGCCUUGGCGGGCAGCUUCCCGGAAACGAAAGUGUUUCGGUUCCGGGGGAAGUAUGGUUGCAAAGCUGAAACUUAAAGAAAUUGACGGAAGGGCACCACCAGGAGUGGAGCCUGCGGCUUAAUUUGACUCAACACGGGAAAACUCACCUGGCCCGGACACCGUGAGGAUUGACAGAUUGAGAGCUCUUUCUUGAUUCGGUGGUUGGUGGUGCAUGGCCGUUCUUAGUUGGUGGAGUGAUUUGUCUGGUUUAUUCCGAUAACGAGCGAGACUCUAGCCUAUUAAAUAGUCAACGGAUAAACGCGUCCGUGUCGACUUCUUAGAGGGACAAGCGGUGUUCAGCCGCAUGAAGUUGAGCAAUAACAGGUCUGUGAUGCCC
rnacentral:rRNA from 1 species